GACUCGGCGAUGCUUCCCGGGCUCAGCGAUAAAUCGCACAUGCACCUCUGACAGGUGGGAGCGUUUGAGUCGCUCCAGCCUUACCAUCCAGCACCAAGUCGCUGACAGAGUGAACUAGCCCCUCCUAGCUCCACAAGCCCUCUCCUGACGCUCCUCUCUACCUCAUUCGGCUUUCCUGCACUGGGGGAGAGCGGGGCCGAGCUGCGAUCGCCAGCUGGCUCCAAAUUCCCACUUUUCCCACUGUUCCAACCGAGGGGAGUCCCAUUGGGUUCACUGACGUCAUGUUUCACCGCAGGAUCGGGCGGUUAGUUUUGAGGAGGCCAGCAGUUUUCCUGCAAUCAGGGCGAGCAAGGUGAUGCCCGACGACCCGGUUCAUUGUCCAACCUGCCGAAGGGGUUGACUGCACAAAAGAGAAUGCAGACGGCUGUUGUCCUCUCUCUCUCUCUGUCUGUCUCUGUCUCUCCCCAACCUCUCUCUAUCUCUCUGCAGCUUCACUCACACCGGAGUCCCGGGGCAGACAAAUACUGCCGGUGCUCCGUUUUAUUCUCAAUCUAUGUGGCCGGGGAUGGUAGGACAGUCAGUCUCUCGGAGUCCAUCUCGCUCGCAGCCGCCUCUUGUGUCUUGGGAUAGACUUGUGACCGCUCAGAUGACUGGCAAAAGGGUCUUUUUCAGAGAAAAUCAGUUGAGCCCUGAGUACAGUGGUCAGUGGAGUGAAAGCCCUGGCACUGUUUACAGCAUGAGGGUAACCAGUGGGCACCUCCUUAUGAAGAGUUGGUGCAAGGUUCGUCUAAGCCGUAGUAAAGUAGCGACUCUCCACCCUGCCGACCACUUUCAAGGAAAACAAAAGAAAACUUCUUCCCCACCCCCUCAUUCAAUGCUGAUUUUUUUUAUAAAUUGUGCAGCAAAAUACUAAGUAUUGUCCCAUUUCAAGGCGAAUUUAUAAGACUUCUUUUUGCAGGGAAUCAAUGCAACGUUACAUUUAUGUUCCUCCUGCUCACGAGUUUCAUAAGUUUAGAAAGAGAAGUUUACAUUUAGUCUUUCACUGCCAAUCUCCCACAAGGACUGCUACAGCCAAUUAAUCUGUUACAGUUGUAUGUAAGAAAAAUGGCAACCAAUCUGCGCACAAGUUUUGACAAACAGUACUGUGAUACUGACUGGAUCACCUGUUUUGAUUUAUCUUCGUGAGAAGUAAACAUAGGGCGCAGCAGGAAAAAUAUACUCACUCAAAGGAUGGUCAACAUUUCUUACAAUUUCCAAGGCUGCAGACACAAAACAUUUGAGACUAACACCGUAUGAAGAACCAGCCAGCAGCCAUAUGAUUAGCAAUAUCGGAAACAGUUAAUGAGGACACGAAGCUCCAACAACAAAACUAAUCAGAACAGAUUCUAACAGGUUCACAAAAUAAUCUAUUUAAAGGAAGAGCUUGUACUUAAAUAGCACUGUUCGUGAUGUUAGGGCAUACCAAACUAUUUCUCAGCCAAUUAACUUUUAAGUUGACAUUGUUGUGAUGUUCAACCGUCAAUACAGCGCUCAUUAAGAUGAAACCAACAGCAGUGAAAUAAUGAUUGAUCGAUCUGUUUUAGUGAUGUUGUUUGAGGGAUAAUUAUUGUCCGGGACUCCGGGAGAGAGGAUCUUUCUUCUUUUCAAAGAGUGCUCUGGGUCUUCUACGUUCAUUGAAGCGACUAGAUUUGGCCUCUGUUUAACAUCAUUUCUGAAAGACACGAAAUAUGUGGCAUUCUAUUUAACUGCAUUUAGGUGUCUGCUUUAGACAUUGUGCUGAACUCACUUUGGAGUAGGAUAUAGACACCCACUUUUAAACUAGGGGUAAGAAUGUGACCAAUGAACCAAGACUGACACUUUACUGAAACUCUUGUGAAUACACAGAAGAAUAAAAGUAAAAGUGGACAAAAGUGCACAGCUUCUACAGAGAACUCAUUUGGGUGGAAUGGCCCAAAUCAAUUUCAUUUGUGGCCGUAAUUGUACGAUGGAGUAAGUAUAUUUCAGAAGUAGCUUAAGGCUGUUGCACAUUCUCAGGUCUUAGAUGUAAAAGUCUCAAAUAUUGCUGUCAAAAUUUAUGGUGUAGUCUGGAACUCUUAAUUGUGUUAUAGCCUCACAGCAGAACCUCUGUCAUUGUUAAUCUCUGUGUAAUUUACCUCAGUUGUAACUUAUAGUGUUUCAUUCAUGAAUCUGAAAGACCCAUAACUCAACUUUAGUGCCAUCAAAGAGCAGCAUUAGCUUUUGGCAUGUGUGAAGCAGUGUAUGUAACUUGUCAAAUAAAGUUUUUUUUUCACUUCGUGAUGCUACAGAGAAUGAUUAUUAGGAACUGAUGCGCUGAGUUAUACCCUGUGAAUGAUGUGAGGCUGACAGGUACAAAAGUGUAUUGAAUAACCAAUUAGAAGAAAGAAAGACUUGUAAGAACGACUUAGUAUAAAUCAUAAUUUUACUGUUAGUUGAUUGCUAUUUCAUUCUGAAACUAACAUUCCUUGAGACAACCGCAUUUUGGCAUAUCUGCAUUCUUCUGUUAAAACUGUCAUUUCAGUCCCAUUGAGUUAUUACUAAAUGUUAUCUUGUAUCAGUUAUGGAAUAAUAAGAUUAUAUAACAAUUUCAGUACAGAAGGGAACCAUUCAGCCAUGAUUUGGAAACUAUGUCAAAUCUGGCUCUCUGUAAAUCCAACUCAGUUAGUUCUUCCUUGCCUUUUCUCUUCUGACUGCAAUUGGUGUCUAUUCAGGUGAUUAUCCAAUACCCUUUUGAAAACCACAGUUGAACCUGUCUUUGUCAUCCUGCCAAGCAACUCUCAGAUCCUAACCACUCACGCCCCCAUGUUGCCAUUAGUCUUUUCACCACCAGUCAUCUUAAAUAAGUGUCUUCUGUUUGUUGAUCCUUCCACCAACAGGCACACUUCUAUCAAAUCUCCUUUUCGCUAUCCCUUCCUCAGAAAGAACAUCUCUAGCUUCCGCAAUUCAACAACCCAGCUGAAGUUUGUCAUCCUUUGAAUCAACUUCACAAAUUUUGUUUCUAUCUAAAGCCAUUACAUCUUUCAAAACCUUGGCAACUGGAACUGCACAAAAGUUAAACCAACGGUUCAAAAAUAUUCAUCAUAAUCUCUUUGAGUGAGCUUUGCUUUUAAGCUCAGAAUUCCAUUUCUGUUUUUAACCACUUCUUAUGACUGUCCUGCAACCUUCAAUUAUUUGAAUGUGCCCCCCUUCAGGUCACUCUGCUUCCACAUAUUCUUUAAAAUGCACCCAUUAUUUUCUUGCUGGUCUUUGUUCCACUUCACAUUUUUCUGCAUUAAACUUAAUCUGUCACCUGGCUGCCAAUUCCAGCCUGCCUGUAUCCUCUUGUAGCCCAUCACUACCCUCCUCACAGAUCACAAACUUCAAAUCUUGCUGUCAUCUUCAGAUUGUGUAUUGUCCACCUUGGAUCCAAGUCAUUAGUAGAGAUGAAGGUAAAUGACGUUCCUGGGGAUCUUCUCUGUAUACCUUCCUCGAGCCUGAAAAAAAAAUUCAUCACUCCCCGGUUUUCUUGUCACUCAGCCAACUUCACAUGUUUGCGUCUUGUCUUGUUUAUUGGAGGAGCACCAAGUUUUCUGACAAGCCUAUUACAUGGCACUUUAUUGAUCAGCUAUUGGAAGUCCAUCGUCUUCAACCUUUUCAACCAGCCUGUUAAAAAAAAUCCAACAAAGGUAUAUAAAUACAAUUUGCCUGUAAUAAAUUUGUGCGGGCAUUCCUUAGCUAAUCCUCAGUUGUCCAAGUGAGAGUUAGUAUUUAAACUGAAAUUUCUUGAGUUAUGCUGUGCUAGGAAAAAAAAACAUUUUUUCGGAAAAAUUGUGUAUUUGAGCAUAAUUACAUUUGGAGGAGAUUGUCCAGUUUACCAUAAAGGAGAAAUACCUUGAAUAACAAUCAACAACAACAACAGGAGAUAACUAGAAAAGUCCACACAGUAACAGUCAUCUGAAAGAAAGAGAGACAGACCUAUAUUCAUAUAGCUCUUCCUUACAUUGUUAGAACACCUCAACACAGUUUCAACAAUUAUUUGCUAUUAAUCUGCAUUUGAUAUAUAGACCAAUGUGUCAGUCGUUUCAUUCUUGUAAUAUCUUACAUCGACCAUUAAAAUGAGUGAUCAAUUUUUCUGCGUUUUAACAUAAAAUUUCACCUGGAAACUUUUCUUUCCAUAUCAGAACAAACUUCUGUACACCUUCAGCUAAUUAUUUAGCUUCAUUGCAGUUUACUUCAUACUCCUAAAUGUGAGAGAUAUUGAUGCUCAAAAAUGGAAUAUUUUACAUUCUCCAAAUUGACUGUCAGCACCGAACACAUUUUGGUGAGGUAUAGCAGAGUUAGAUGCAAAGUAAAGUUCCUUUGGCUCAAUAAGCUUCAGUGUCCUUUCUGUGUUCUUUCAUUACAAAUCUUUGUUUUUCACAGACUUAACAAAAGGAUAAAAAGGGAAUGUUUCUAUUUAUUUAACUGCUUUCACAUCCUAGAAAUGUGCCAGUGAGCUUAAUGAACAAUACAGUUAUUUGAAACAUUGUGAGUACUACAGUAUUGUCCAACAUAGCAAUCACUUUACAUGCAGUAAGAACCAAAAAGUAGAAACAUUCUGCGUAUAAGACCUUAUCAUAUCCUUAAGACAUUGCAAAGUACCUCAUAGAUAGUAGGGUGAACUUGAAGUGCAGUUAGCUUAGAUAUGUUGAAAAACAUGUCUACAAAUAUCUCACUGACAAUAAAUAAGUUAAUUGAUUAAAGUAGACUGGAUGCUGUGUGAAACAUUUUUGUGAAGUCUUUCUCCACUGUCUCCUCAAGUCCUGGCUUAUAAUGUUAUAUUGAUCUAUACCACCGUAAACAGGUCACUGGUCACUUGUCAAAGUGUAUUAUUCCUGGCACAACACUUCUUUGUUCAACAGAGAGAAAGAAAACAUCAGAAGCCUUCUGUUCAAUGGUUUAAUAAGCCAACAAUGUUUUGAUAACAAUAACAUCUCAGAUCGAUCAUGCAUUAGAAAUCAACUUUCUACAAAGGGAAGAAGUACAGAAAAUUUCUUUAGACGUGGAAUAUGGCAAAAGUGUGUACAAAACGAAAAUUAAUUGCAGGGGGAAAUACCGCUGAAAAAAAGAUAGUGCAUUUUGGGACAAAUAAAUCACAUUGCUUAAUAAGGAAGAUAACUCUUCAGAAUCAGUAAUACCUAAUAAGGGCAAAAUAGUAUUUUGUUUUAAAACAAUUGUUCUGUGUAGCACUUGUAAUGUUCAAGCGCUAUCCAUUGUGGUUAUCUCUUUUGUACCUUAACACAAAUGUCAACAUCAUGAUGGAACAUGGAUAGAGUUCCAUUCCUAUCUUCCCUUGCUGCACAUGAACUUGGCAAAGUUAUUUUAUAUCAUUCUGGUUUGUGCAGCAAGCAUCUGCAUUUUAGUGCACAUUUUGAGUCCAAAAGAAAUUAAUGAAACUAUCUCUGUUUUGUCUUGGCAAAUGAGUUGUCUUCGUUUAGGACCGUUGAAUUCCUGAAGCAAUUAUUACUAGAUGAUAGCAAUGACAACGCACAGGAGGCUGCUAAAUUCUUAACUAAAGUGAGACCUAUAGCAGAUUUUUUAAAAAAGCCAUCAAUUAAUCAUUUUUCAGACAAUGCUAUCGAGUGGCAGGAAAUAUGAAUGUGACAGGAAAUUAGAAUGUGCAUAGCCUCCUACUCUGGUGUAUCACAUGCAAGCCCAAGACUGAAGCAAAAAAAAAUCAUGGAGUGCGAAUGCACAGAAAAUACUUGAAAGACUCAAUAGAUCAGUUAGCAUCCAGGGAGAGAGAAACAGAACUGAUGGGUCAAAUCUGUGACCUUUCAACAAAACAAGCAUCUUCUCCUUAUCAUCACUUGUCUGCCUAUCCACUAUCUCACCUACCUUCUCUUUACUAUGACCUGAAUAGUGUCUCUUUCCUUGGUAAAGAAGGAUACAACAUUUUCAUAUCGUACCUUAACCAUGCCAUCCGCACAAAUGAUCUGUUUUUAUGUUCUUACUUUAAACACUAUUUUGCUAUUUAUAUGUCUAUAGAAAAUAUUUGGAUUCUCAUUUAUUAUUGUUGCCAGUAUCCUCUCAUAGUCUAUCUUCACUUCUUGUAUUCCCUUUUCACAUCCUUUCUAAACUCAGCCUCGAUUUCUCAAUUGAAUUAUUUACUUGACAGCUGUCAUAUUCCCCAUCUUCUGCUUCAUCACGCUCUCUGUCAAUUCUAUCGUGCUGGAAGCUCUGAGAUUUUGUUUUGAUCUGUCUUUCUCUGUCAUGGGAAUGUAUCUUAACUAUACCCAAACUAUACCAAUUAACUCAGUGCAAUUUGAAUUUUAAUGUUGGUGCAAUCACAAUUAUUUUUGUAAUAUUAUAUAAAACUGCUUAAGAAUGUUGUG